rnacentral:rRNA from 1 species
GAUGAACGCUGGCGGCGUGCUUAACACAUGCAAGUCGAACGGUGAACACGGAGCUUGCUCUGUGGGAUCAGUGGCGAACGGGUGAGUAACACGUGAGCAACCUGCCCCUGACUCUGGGAUAAGCGCUGGAAACGGCGUCUAAUACUGGAUACGAACCACGAAGGCAUCUUCAGUGGUUGGAGAGAAUUUCGGUUGGGGAUGGGCUCGCGGCCUAUCAGCUUGUUGGUGAGGUAAUGGCUCACCAAGGCGUCGACGGGUAGCCGGCCUGAGAGGGUGACCGGCCACACUGGGACUGAGACACGGCCCAGACUCCUACGGGAGGCAGCAGUGGGGAAUAUUGCACAAUGGGCGCAAGCCUGAUGCAGCAACGCCGCGUGAGGGAUGACGGCCUUCGGGUUGUAAACCUCUUUUAGCAGGGAAGAAGCGAAAGUGACGGUACCUGCAGAAAAAGCGCCGGCUAACUACGUGCCAGCAGCCGCUGUAACAC